rnacentral:rRNA from 1 species
GACGAACGCUGGCGGCGUGCUUAACACAUGCAAGUCGAACGGAAAGGCCCUGCUUUUGUGGGGCGCUCGAGUGGCGAACGGGUGAGUAACACGUGAGUAACCUGCCCUUGACUUUGGGAUAACUUCAGGAAACUGGGGCUAAUACCGGAUAGGAGCUCCUGCUGCAUGGUGGGGGUUGGAAAGUUUCGGCGGUUGGGGCUGGACUCGCGGCUUAUCGGCUUGUUGGUGGGGUAGUGGCUUACCAAGGCUUUGACGGGUAGCCGGCCUGAGAGGGUGAACGGCCACAUUAGGACUGAGAUACGGCCCAGACUCCUACGGGAGGCAGCGGUGGAGAAUAUUGCACAACGAGCGGAAGUCUGAUGCAGCAACGCCGCGUGCGGAAUGACGGCCUUCGGGUUGUAAACCGCUGUCGCCUGUGACGAAGCGGGAGUGACGGUAAUGGGUAAAGAAGCACCGGCUAACUACGUG